CAGCCUGCCCAGUGACAUAGUUAAACGGCCGCGGUACCCUGACCGUGCGAAGGUAGCAUAAUCACUUGUUCUUUAAAUGGGGACUAGUAUCAACGGCAUCACGAGGGCUUUUCUGUCUCCUUUUUCCAAUCAGUGAAACUGAUCUCCCUGUGAAGAAGCAGGAAUCAACAUAUAAGACGAGAAGACCCCAUGGAGCUUUAAACCCAAUGAACAGCCCGACCUUUACACUACAUAUUAGUCACUUACAAGCCUUGUCCAUUGGUUUUAGGUUGGGGUGACCGCGGAGAAAAACCAAACCUCCACGACGCAUGGGACUACUCCCUUAUCCAAGAGCCACUUCUCUAAGAAUUAAAAUAUUAACGUUCUAUGAUCCAAAUAAUUGAUCAACGGACCAAGUUACCCUGGGGAUAACAGCGCAAUCCAUUUUGAGAGCCCCUAUCGACAAAUGGGUUUACGACCUCGAUGUUGGAUCAGGGUGUCCCAGUGGUGCAGCCGCUACUAAUGGUUUGUUUGUUCAACAAUUAAAACCCUACGUGAUCUGG
rnacentral:rRNA from 1 species